rnacentral:rRNA from 1 species
GACGAACGCUGGCGGCGUGCUUAACACAUGCAAGUCGAACGGAAAGGCCUUGCUUGCCUGGUACUCGAGUGGCGAACGGGUGGGUAACGGGUGGGUAACCCGCCCUUCACCUCGGGAUAACCUUGGGAAACUGGGUCUAAUCCCGGACUAGUACCAUCUUGAGCUGGAGGGUUGGGCAGUUUUUUCGGUGGAGGAUGAGCUGGCGUGCUAUCGGCUUGUUGGUGUGGUAGUGGCCUACCAGGGCGGCGACGGGUAGCCGGCCUGAGAGGGUGUAGGGCCACAUUCGGCCUGGGAUACGGCCCAGGCUCGUAGUGGGGGCAGCAGUGGGGAAGAUGGAACAAUGGGCGAGAGCCUGAUGCAGGGACGCCGCGUGGGGGAUGAAGGCCUUCGGGUUGGAACCUCAUGAAGCUAGGUACGAAGCUUUGUUGUGACGGUACCUAGAGAAGAAGCACCGGCUAACUACGUG